UACGUAGGAUGCGAGCGUUGUCCGGAAUUACUGGGCGUAAAGAGCGCGUAGGCGGCCCUUCGCGUAGGCGGUGAAAGCCCCCGGCUCACCUGGGGGAGUGCCGCCUAAACGGGGGGGCUAGAGGGCGGUAGGGGCUGGCGGAACGCCCGGAGUAGCGGUGAAAUGCGUUGAGAUCGGGCAGAACACCAGUGGCGAAGGCGGCCGGCUGGGCCGCACCUGACGCUGAGGCGCGAAAGCCAGGGGAGCGAACGG
rnacentral:rRNA from 1 species